CUGACAUAUGGCUCAAUGCAACAAGCAACCAAACCCAAAGCUAUUUGGCAGUGACCUACACAUUUGCUGAAAGAAGAGCUGGGGCCUGAGGGCACAGCUCAAAUCUAGCUUGUCUCAAUGGGAAAAGGCACUUCCCCUUUCUCUUUUACGGUCUUGUGCUAUUUCCCCAAGACACAGAACCAAUUUGCACUGGGAAGUUCGUACUAAUGCAAAGCAAGAUGAGACAGCGGCUGAGAUCUCCCCCGUGACAGGGCUGCAAUGAUGCAAGCACAGGAAGCAGCCAGGAACUUUGCAGGGUAAGACCUAGAAGCAAAGCGGGAUAAGGAAAGUUGCUGCUUCUGCCAGAGUGAAGUCACUUGAAAGACGCAGAAAUUUUCAGAAUUGGGAACAAUGGGUUCCUGGAGGUGAACGAUUCAUAGCAGACAGAAC
rnacentral:lncRNA from 1 species